rnacentral:lncRNA from 1 species
UCCGUGGCCCUCCCCAAUGCUGACCAGGGACACAACCGCGCAACCGCGCCGGUUAGACCAGCCAGCGCUGGAGGCCCAAACAGCCACACCAUCUCCACCUCAUCGGCCAGCCCACCUCUGGCAAUUGCUGCUCGUCGCUGCUUGCCGUCCCUGCCAUUAACUGUUCGGCGACGACCCCGAGCCCCUGCCUUUCUUAUCGUGCCUAUGGACCCUUGCAUCGGCCAGAUCCGAGCACCUCUCUGGCUGCCUUCGCAUGUCUCCGGCACCUCUGCCAGAACCUCUUUGGCGCAUUCGCUCAUAUGAUCUAAUGUAAGUGGUGUGACAUGUUUCUUCAUUGAUUGGGAAUGAUAUUGUUUCUAGAUGAAGCCUCACAAGAGAGUUAGAUUCUUCUCGGUAUGCCGGAAUCGAUUGUUGAUUGAUUAGCCAAUGUCGAUUUGGGUCGUCUAUGUCUACAAGUGUUCAAUUGCGACCUUAAAACCAGUCACAAAAAUUGAUUUGGUCCAUGUACGACUUAAAUAACCUAUUGUUCAGUUAACUUUUUAUGUUUAUAGGUAAUUAAUUACUUCUAUGUGGGUAUCUUCAAUUCAUAAAAAAAUUAGGGUGUCCUAAUUGCUAAAGGAAUAAAGUUAAAACAGUUAUGGUGUAUUUCAUGAUGUCAGAAAGGGUACAAGUAUGCAUACAUGGUUCUAUUCUCUUUUUUUAGGUUUAGGUUAUUGGGACUGUACAUCAGUACAAUAUUUCUUCUCUCCUAAUUUCUUGGAUCCGUUUUUCAUCUCCCUUUGGUUUGUUUCAUGAGGAUAUUUUUAUUCAGUGCAUACAUGUUGAUUUGUUCAUGUGUUUAAAAGUAAGAGGUGCAGCAUGCGGGACGUUCUUGCAAGAGUUGUCGAGCAGAGGAUCUACCUAGCGAUUUGGAUGUACGGAGUUUAUGAUACUCAGACCUAUUUUGUUUUUGUACAGAUAUCGAAUUUUCUCCUUUCUGUUCGUGAACUCCUUCGAUAUGUUCUUUACUCCUGAUUUCAACUUUUCACGGUCUAUUGUUCUUCCAGGAUUCAGUGAGUAUGGACCACUUUAUGCCGAACGAGAUGCGAUGCUUGAUUGUCGUUGUUCUUGGCGUGUUGCUGCAAUUUUACUCGGUAGAAUCCAUGCACUGCGGAGACCUCAGUCUAUCCACUGUAGGUCAUGCCUUCUGAUCAAUUAUUCGCAGUCAUUGAGAUAUUUUUCUCCAUGCCUGUUUUGUUGCUCAAAUUUCUGCUUUCAUUUAGGUAUGAGUAUUUAAUGAAUUUACUAUUCUCCAUGGUGCGCCCAUGAGGGCAAAAAUUCCAUGCUCCAAAUCUACUUGGCGAGAAGUAGGUUAUCUGGUGAUUGCUUAUUAUAUGCUUGUAUUUUUAUUAAAGGAAAAAGAAAAAUAAAGAAAAGAAAACGAAAAUGAAAAUGAUAAAAUGGAAAAAAAUGAAAAA